CAUUGUCAGAGACUGGAUGCUGGACUAACUAUAGAAUAGAGCAGUUUUCAUCGGUUAGUGUUUCUGGGGCUACCGGAUAGUGUCCCAAAGAAGUUAUCAUGCAAUUUAUUUUCUUCUCCAUUCCCUGUUUUUCUUCUGGUGUUUUAGUUGUAUUGUCAUUAUCAGCAAAAGAACCAUCUAGGUCAGGAAUAUGGAUUUAUGGGCCUAACUGGUGGGGAGAAAAUCCUGAAAUAAUUGCAUUGCAAUGCUUGUUAGAAGCUGCAUUACAUUGAAUAAUAUUCUUCCUCCUACAUAAAUUUAUAGGAUUUUUAACUCUUCCCUAUUUAUAGGUGGGUUUCUGAAAUCUAUUUUAUUAGGGGAAAAAGAUUUGAGUGUGUUAGGCAAAGUGCCAGUAGCCAUGGCAACCUAGAAUUUUUCCAUCUUCAUUACAAGCUCAAGUAAAACCUUCAUAUAAAAUCUAAAUGAAAGGGUACAUUAUAAGUCAAUUUUCAAAUGUUUGCCUGGAAGUAAAAAUUUGGACUGCAUCCUUUUUUUCUGCAGAACAUUCUGGUUCUACGCAGAACACAUUUUUAAGGUUGUCAUUCAAAGAAUAUAACAGACUCCCCAGUUACUCACAGAUGAGAGAGCUGCAGAAGGGCAGACGUGUCCACAAGAUUGGGAUGUCAGCACAAGUUCAUUACCCGGCCUUAGUUGGAUAUUAUAUCUGUGAUCGUGAUGAAACAGAAGCAGACAAAAUCUCAGGGGAAUGGGAACGUCACAAGCAGCAUUUCCAGGCUGAAGCCUAAAAGAGAUGUCAUCGUAACUUCAGAACCAAACCUUCAGAGCCUGGGGCUCUCACCGGACUGAUUUUCACACUGUGGGACUCUACUGUCACAGAUUAUAUUAAGUGGAGAAAAAGGCAAAGAAUCUACUUUGACUGAGAGGAUCGCCUGAAAUAAUAAGAUGGACAAAGCCCACCUCAUCACACCCCAUCCUGGCCUCUAGACACACACACACACACACACACACACACACCACUUGCUCUCCCAAAUACCCUUUGUAACCUUAUACUUGCUCCUAAGAUCCCCAAAGAGCAGUGCAGCACACUCCCAGACUGACUGCCAUUCCAUUUUCUUCUGAAACAGUAAAACCGUUUCACUAUAACUUGGCUGAAGCAUUAACACUCUGGUUUCAGUUUCUUUUAUGAUAGCCUAGGGCAACUGCCAAUUAGGGUCCCCCUAGCCACCCCUGCCCCCUCAGUAGCAACUCCCUGAACUGUCUCAUAGUGCAACCCAGACACAUAACUCUCCUGUUCUCUGAUGAAAAAAAUAUAAAAUAAUAAUAAACACACCAUAGAAAAGAUUAUUGGAGUUAUU
rnacentral:lncRNA from 1 species